rnacentral:SRP_RNA from 1 species
GCUGGGCGUGGUGUCACAUGCCUGUAAUUCCAGCUACUUGGGAGGCUGAGGCAGGAGGAUCACUUGAGCCCUGGAGGUCAAGGCUGCAGUGAAGAGUGAUCACGCCACUGCACUCUAGCCUGGGUGAGAGAGUGAGACUCUGUCUCAA